GAGUUUGAUCCUGGCUCAGGAUGAACGCUAGCUACAGGCUUAACACAUGCAAGUCGAGGGGCAGCAUGAACUUAGCUUGCUAAGUUUGAUGGCGACCGGCGCACGGGUGAGUAACACGUAUCCAACCUGCCGAUGACUCGGGGAUAGCCUUUCGAAAGAAAGAUUAAUACCCGAUGGCAUAGUUCUUCCGCAUGGUAGAACUAUUAAAGAACUUCGGUCAUCGAUGGGGAUGCGUUCCAUUAGGUUGUUGGCGGGGUAACGGCCCACCAAGCCUUCGAUGGAUAGGGGUUCUGAGAGGAAGGCCCCCCACAUUGGAACUGAGACACGGUCCAAACUCCUACGGGAGGCAGCAGUGAGGAAUAUUGGUCAAUGGACGAGAGUCUGAACCAGCCAAGUAGCGUGAAGGAUGACUGCCCUAUGGGUUGUAAACUUCUUUUAUACGGGAAUAAAGUGAGGCACGUGUGCCUUUUUGUAUGUACCGU
rnacentral:rRNA from 1 species